CUCAGAAGAGAAAGUAAAAACUACGAAAGGAAAUCAGGACCAUCAUGCCAGAGCAAGGGAUCAAAAAGUGAAAAUGUCUGGAGAAAGAUAUGGAAACCCAGUUGAACGAUUUAUAACAUUCCUCAAUUUGAAAAGCCACACGAGUGAAGAAAUGGCAAAUCAGAAUUGGUGCAGCAAGUGAAGUAGCAGUACAAGCUUCCCUGUGCCAACAAAAUCCUGAGCUUAUCUAAUGAGGCAACCAACUAAGGUGCCAACUGGUACAAAGGUGAUGUGUUUGUGAUGUGGCCAUGUCUCCAUUGGGAUCGAGACUGAAAUUGCUGACUCAUUUAGCACAUACCAUCCCACAGUCAGCAGAUGGUAAUAUCUUUCAGUCAUUAUUAAUCUGAGCUAGAU